rnacentral:misc_RNA from 1 species
AUUUCAAUGGAAAGCUUGAAAACAUAAUGAUUUCACACAGAUUACAAGUUUUUCCCAAUAUUUGGGGGGAAAUGAAGAAGGUGUUGAACCAAGACGUACAUUCAUACAGGAACAUUUAGCCAAAAACCACAAUGAUUGCUCACUUACUUCCAGAGAGCGGUUAUAAUUAAGCUGAAACUACAAAACUGUACCUAUAAACACUAGAGAAAAUUGCAGCAUAAGAUCACCUGCAUACAAAUAUAAAUCAUGAGCUCUUAGUUUCUAACUGCAGAACCUUAUAUAACCACCAGAUUGUCAUAGAAAGGAAAGGAAGAUGGAGAAUCAACUUUU